AAGUAGAGGUGCUGCAUGGCUGUCGUCAGCUCGUGUCGUGAGAUGUUGGGUUAAGUCCCGCAACGAGCGCAACCCUCGUCCUGUGUUGCCAUUUUGGGACUCACAGGAGACCGCCAGCGAUAAGUUGGAGGAAGGUGGGGACGACGUCAAGUCAUCAUGGCCUUUAUGUCCAGGGCUACACACGUGCUACAAUGGGUGGUACAACGGGUCGCGAAGCCGCGAGGCGGAGCUAAUCCCUAAAAGCCAUCCUCAGUUCGGAUUGCAGGCUGCAACUCGCCUGCAUGAAGUUGGAAUCGCUAGUAAUGGCGUAUCAGAAUGACGCCGUGAAUACGUUCCCGGGCCUUGUACACACCGCCCGUCACAUCACGAAAGUGGAUUGUACUAGAAAUCCGUGGCCUAACCUUCGGGGGGG
rnacentral:rRNA from 1 species